ACAAAGCUAUUUUUAAGUCUGUUUGUUCUGGCCUUCAGUGUCCUGUAUCAUCUGCCUGAUGGCAGCAAGUCAAACAAAUAGUGUCCAGGAUGGGAGGGGUCUCUGAUUAUAGUCCUUACCUUCCUGAGACAACUUAUAUACAGUUCCUCUAAUGAAGGCAAGAGACAACCAGUGAUCUUCUGGGCUGUUGUGAGUGUUUUUCUGAGUGUGUUCAGUUGUGAAUCCCCAUUGAAAAUGCAUUAACAUCUGGGAAAUUGGUCAAUAUUUUGCACGGUUAGACAGCGUCAUGUCACUGUCCAUGAAGGGACAAGCGCUUUACAU